rnacentral:rRNA from 1 species
UGGUGGAGUGAUUUGUCUGGUUAAUUCCGAUAACGAGCGAGACUCUGUCCUGCUAACUAGGUUGUGUUUUCUCGGGUUGGUGUUUCUGGUGUUCCUUCUCGGGGCGCCGGCCCAAUCCACUUGUGAACACAACACUCUUCUUAGAGGGACUGGCGGCUGUUAGCCGCACGAGAUAGAGCAAUAACA